AGGUCUCCAUCACCACCCCCACGCAGACGCUCGCCUUCUCCACGGAGAUACUCUCCGCCGAUACAGAGACGAUAUUCUCCUUCACCACCACCGAAGAGAAGAACAGCUUCUCCUCCUCCCCCGCCUAAACGAAGGGCAUCACCUUCUCCACAGUCGAAACGCAGAGUCUCCCAUUCGCCACCGCCGAAACAGAGGAGCUCACCAACUGCUAAAAGGCGUUCACCUUCGAUAUCUUCCAAGCACAGGAAGGGAUCUCCUCCCAGUAGGUCCAAUCGGGAAACACGUUCUCCACCACAAAACAAAAGGCAUUCACCUUCACCACGGCCUAGAGCUUCUCAUACCUCUGCAAGCCCACCGCCGCCACGAAGGGGAGCUUCAGCUUCACCCCAGAGAAGACAGUCUCCAUCUCCAAGCACUAGACCCAUCAGGAGGGUGUCAAGAACACCAGAACCUAAGAAGACAAAGCCUUCCACGCCAAGUCCACGGUCUGCGAGACGGGUGUCGUCUUCACGGUCUGCGUCAGGAUCACCCGAGCCAGCACCGAAAAAACAUCAAGGGCCUCCAUCUCCGACUCGCUCUCGUUCCCCUUCUGCAAACUGGUCACCUGCAAAAAAGGCUAAAAGCCCAACUCAGAGCCCAUCACCUGCAAGGAAUUCAGAUCAAGAAGGGGGCGGAAAGAAGAAGAAGAAAAAGAAGGAUAAGAAGCAUAAAAAGGAUAAAAAGCACAAGAAACACAAA